AAAAAGUUUUAUUUUAGCUUAAAAAUUAAGUGUUAUUUUUGUUAUAUGUAAAUUUUAUUAAAGAAUUAUUUUCAGUAAAAAAAAUUAUUAAUUUAAGAAAUUAAGAAUUAGAAAUAAUAAAAAUUAUAAACUAAAUUUGUGCCAGCAGUUGCGGUUAUACAAAUUAUAAAAAUUAAUUUUGUUAAUUUUAAUUAUUUAGAUGAAAAUUUUAAAAUUAAAUUUUUUUAGUGAAAUCUAAAAUUUUUAAUAAAAUUUAAGUUAGAUAAUAAUAUUAGGAAAUUUAAAGUGUAAACUAGGAUUAGAUACCCUAUUAUUUUAAAGGUAAUUUUACAUUAAAUUAGUAUUAGUUAUGAUCUUGAAAAUUAAAAAAUUUGGCGGUAUUUUAUUCUAUUCAGAGGAACCUGUUCUAUAAAUGAUAUUCCACGAUUUAAUUUACUUUUAUUAUUAGUUUAUAUAUCGUCGUUAUUUAAAUAUUUUUGUAGAAUUUUAAUAUUUAAGAUUUUUUAUAAAAAAAUAUUUCAGAUCAAGGUAUAGUUUAUAUAAAAGUAGAAAUGGGUUACAAUAAAUUAAUUUUAGGAUUUAAAUUUUUAAAAUUUAAUUAAUUUGGAUUUGAUAGUAAUUUAAAUUAAUUUAUUUAAAUGAUUUUAGUAUUAAAAUAUGUACAUAUUGCCCGUCACUUUCAUUUAAUAUGAAAUAAGUCGUAACAAAGUAGAUUUACUGGAAAGUGAAUCUAGAUUACU
rnacentral:ncRNA from 1 species